AUCCUCUCUUUUGGUGUCUUCUGGUGAGCUCAGCUGAAGGGGACUGUUCAGGGACUUUUCAGAAAAAUCCUUGAAGGAAAGAAAAAGCAUGUGUGCAUGUUGUAAUGGAUCAUAUCUGAAAAGUGAAAGAUGAAUAAUCUAAAUCACAGUGCUUUUGUGUGAAGAGAGAAGAGAAGCACAUUCCCUGGCCAGAAGCAGGCAAAGGAGCUUUAUUAAGAAAAGGAGAUAAAAAUGUUGUGCCACAGCUUUCAGAAAUGUUUGGUGCUUCAAAGGAAAAUACACUUAUCUGGCUAUUAGAAGAUGAGACUGAACUUGUGAUGACAAGCAUGACAACAAAUCACCAUGUUGCUUGCUUGCUGUGGCUCAGAUCAGUGUAGUCUUCUUUCUGCAACAUUUUUUCUAUGCUACUGCAAUGCAAAUGUAUAUCUGAGAGUUUUGUUAUAUUAUAUUCUGGAAGACAUGAAAUCUGCCGGAAGUUAUUCCAGUGUCUAUGAGAAAUCGCUUCAUACUUGUGCAAGUCUUUAAGGGUUAUAAAAAAUUGUCACUUUCUGAAAGCAUGUUCUACAAUAUUAUCAUUCCUAAUGUUUUCAAAUGUGUAUGCUUUUACAAUAAGAGUGAAUUAAAGAGCAUACAUUAUUAAAUCACAGUAGUAAGAAUGAGCCAAAUUCUGCCACUCCUAUUCACACUAGAAAGAAAGUAACUUGAUUUUAGUGGAAU